UUGCAACUGUUCCCAGGGGCGUAAUGAAUUGUUUUCUCCGGACAGGCCAUUCCGUUCCACUCUCUGAAGCGAUGCUAUUUAUGUUGAUAUCCCUCAAUCACGUGUACUUCGUGACAAUAAAUUAUUUACUGUAUGGGGUAAGCUUACCAGUCAUUGGGAUAGAUAGGCCAUGUUGAGAACGCAAUUUUCCUCUAUCACGUAAUGCCUAGUCUUAGUUUUUUUUAAUGAGCAGACAUUUGCCUUUCUUUCUGUGUAGCGUUAUGACAUUCUGUUGAUCAUGCUGCCUCAGUUCCACCUGAUGAUAUGUGAUGCUUUAGAUGAACCCAUUAAGUUUGACGUGCAAUGUUGAAUUUUGUGUACAUAUAGUGCAUUGCAAAUAUCUUUCUUUGAAGUCAUUUGUUCCAGUGUUUUUUUACCAUGAAUAAACAUGACCAAAAGUGGU
rnacentral:sRNA from 1 species